rnacentral:rRNA from 1 species
CUACGGGGCGCUGCAGUGGGGGAUAUUGCACAAUGGAGGAAACUCUGAUGCAGCGACGUCGCGUGAGUGAUGAAGUAUUUCGGUGUGUAAACUCCUUUUAUAUGUCAAGAAAAUGACGGUAGCAUAUGAAUAAGCACCGGCUAACUCCGUGCCAGCAGCCGCGGUAAUACGGAGGGUGCAAGCGUUACUCGGAAUCACUGGGCGUAAAGGACGCGUAGGCGGGUUGGAAAGUCAGGUGUGAAAUCCUACAGCUUAACUGUAGAACUGCACUUGAAACUUCUAAUCUAGAGUAUGGGAGGGGGAGAUGGAAUUAGUGGUGUAGGGGUAAAAUCCGUAGAUAUCACUAGGAAUACCUAAAGCGAAGGCGAUCUCCUGGAACAUUACUGACGCUAAGGCGUGAAAGCGUGGGGAGCAAACAGGAUUAGAUACCCGUGUAGUC